AUGAAGUUUUUACUUUUAUUUCAUUUGAUUUUGUAAAAUGCAAACAUGUAGAAUCAAACAAAAUGAUCAAUCAGCUAGGGACAAAUCAAAGAAAUACAUUUUGUUUUUAAAUUUGUCAAACCUUCAAAUCAAAUAAUUUGUCAAGGACUUUUCUAGUAGACUUGACACUAAUAAUGUGUCACUCAGUCAAUGCCCUUGUUAAAACAUUUAU